AGUGAACGCUGGCGGCGUGGAUUAGGCAUGCAAGUCGAGCGAUCUCGCAAGAGAUAGCGGCAAAAGGGUGAGUAACACGUAAGUAAUUUUCCUUCAAGACGGGGAUAGCAUCGUGAAAACGGUGGUAAUACCCGAUAACAUCAGUGGUCCGCAUGGAUUGCUGAUUAAAGACGGGGACCGCAAGGCCUGUCGCUUAAAGAUGAGCUUGCGUACCAUCAGCUAGUUGGUAGGGUAAUGGCCUACCAAGGCUAAGACGGUUAGCUGGUCUGAGAGGAUGGUCAGCCACACUGGGACUGAGACACUGCCCAGACUCCUACGGGAGGCUG
rnacentral:rRNA from 1 species